GACGAACGCUGGCGGCGUGCUUAACACAUGCAAGUCGAACGGAAAGGCCCUGCUUUUGUGGGGUGCUCGAGUGGCGACCGGGUGAGUAACACGUGAGUAACCUGCCCUUGACUUUGGGAUAACUUCAGGAAACUGGGGCUAAUACCGGAUAGGAGCUCCUGCUGCAUGGUGGGGGUUGGAAAGUUUCGGCGGUUGGGGAUGGACUCGCGGCUUAUCAGCUUGUUGGUGGGGUAGUGGCUUACCAAGGCUUUGACGGGUAGCCGGCCUGAGAGGGUGACCGGCCACAUUGGGACUGAGAUACGGCACAGACUCCAACGGGAGGCAGCAGUGGGGAAUAUAGCACAAUGGGCGGAAGCCUGAUGCAGCAACGCCGCGUGCGGGAUGACGGCCUUCGGGUUGUAAACCGCUUUCGCCUGUGACGAAGCGUGAGUGACGGUAAUGGGUAAAGAAGCACCGGCUAACUACGUG
rnacentral:rRNA from 1 species